rnacentral:rRNA from 1 species
UACGUAGGGUGCAAGCGUUAAUCGGAAUUACUGGGCGUAAAGCGUGCGCAGGCGGCUAUGUAAGACAGGUGUGAAAUCCCCGGGCUUAACCUGGGAACUGCAUUUGUGACUGCAUAGCUAGAGUACGGUAGAGGGGGAUGGAAUUCCGCGUGUAGCAGUGAAAUGCGUAGAUAUGCGGAGGAACACCGAUGGCGAAGGCAAUCCCCUGGACCUGUACUGACGCUCAUGCACGAAAGCGUGGGGAGCAAACAGG